rnacentral:rRNA from 1 species
CCUACGGGUGACAGCAGUGAGGAAUAUUGGUCAAUGGGCGUAAGCCUGAACCAGCCAAGUCGCGUGAGGGAUGAAGGUUCUAUGGAUCGUAAACCUCUUUUAUAAGGGAAUAAAGUGUGGGACGUGUCCUGUUUUGUAUGUACCUUAUGAAUAAGGAUCGGCUAACUCCGUGCCAGCAGCCGCGGUAAUACGGGGGAUCCGAGCGUUAUCCGGAUUUAUUGGGUUUAAAGGGUGCGUAGGCGGUCCGUUAUGUCAGCGGUAAAAUUGCGGGGCCCAACCCCGUAGAGCCGUUGAAACUGGCAGGCUUGAGUUGGCGAGAGGUACGCGGAAUGCGCGGUGUAGCGGUGAAAUGCAUAGAGAUCGCGCAGAACACCGAUUGCGAAGGCAGCGUACCGGCGCAAGACUGACGCUGAGGCACGAAAGCGUGGGGAUCGAACAGGAUUAGAUACCCUUGUAGUC